rnacentral:rRNA from 1 species
AUUGAACGCUGGCGGCAGGCCUAACACAUGCAAGUCGAGCGGAUGAGUGGAGCUUGCUCCAUGAUUCAGCGGCGGACGGGUGAGUAAUGCCUAGGAAUCUGCCUGGUAGUGGGGGACAACGUUUCGAAAGGAACGCUAAUACCGCAUACGCCCUACGGGAGAAAGUGGGGGAUCUUCGGACCUCACGCUAUCAGAUGAGCCUAGGUCGGAUUAGCUAGUUGGUGAGGUAAAGGCUCACCAAGGCGACGAUCCGUAACUGGUCUGAGAGGAUGAGCAGUCACACUGGAACUGAGACACGGUCCAGACUCCUACGGGAGGCAGCAGUGGGGAAUAUUGGACAAUGGGCGAAAGCCUGAUCCAGCCAUGCCGCGUGUGUGAAGAAGGUCUUCGGAUUGUAAAGCACUUUAAGUUGGGAGGAAGGGCAGUAAGUUAAUACCUUGCUGUUUUGACGUUACCAACAGAAUAAGCACCGGCUAACUUCGUGCCAGCAGCCGCCGUAACAC